rnacentral:lncRNA from 1 species
CCAAAAUAUGAAAGGGCAUAGCGGUAGUUGUUAAACCUAUGCAUAUCUUUCUUUGCUCCAGCAUUCAUGGUUUUUAUGGGUUGUGCUAUACAGUCUGUACCUUUUAAGACAGCAAUACUGUCAAUACAUAUUUGAGAAGAGUUUUCAGCAGCUCAGUUUGGUCUAGUAAAGCCAUAUCUUUCAUCUUGCAUUUUGCAGGUGUGUGGAGCACAUUUUAAAGGCACAGAGAAAGGAUGCAUGUCAUCUCAACUUCACAGAAGAUAAUUUCCAGAUCACUACCGUAAUUAAUUAAGGAGGGCUGAAGGAAGCAAUGAAGGAAACAGGAAGUAUAUCUCUGGUUGGCGCUCCCAGUAGAAGUAGAGUGACUUUGAAGGCGUGAAUCUGCAAAGAAGUUAUACCCUCACUAAAUUCAGGUCUUCCAGAAGCAAAGUGGUGUGGACUUCUCACUUGCAUAUUUAUUCAGCAUCUAUCACAGUGGGAGGCCCUGGAUGUGACUGUAAUACAAACAACACUGACAAAUCCGUGUUUCCAUGGUAGGCUAAAAAUCUCUUCCUUCUGAACCAAAUAAUGGCAAGGGUAAAAAUUACUUACUUUACAUCCAUAGAUCAAAAGCCUUCCCGAGC